GACGAACGCUGGCGGUGUGCUUAAUGCAUGCAAGUCGAACGAGAUCUCCGCUGGGUAACCAGAGGGAACGAUCUAGUGGCGAACGGGUGAGUAUCACGUGAGGAACCUGCCCUGGAGACCGGAAUAGCCCGGGGAAACCCGGAUUAAUACCGGAUACCCUCAAUGCACCGCAUGGUGUGAUGAGGAAAUGGUCAGCCGCUCCAGGAGGGCCUCGCGUCCUAUCAGCUUGUUGGUGAGGUAACGGCUCACCAAGGCAUCGACGGGUAGCUGGUCUGAGAGGAUGAUCAGCCACACUGGGACUGAGACACGGCCCAGACUCCUACAGGAGGCAGCAGCAGGGAAUAUUGCGCAAUGGGCGAAAGCCUGACGCAGCGACACCGCGUGAGGGAUGAAGGCCUUCGGGUUGUAAACCUCUUUCAGUGGGGAAGAAGCGAAAGUGACGGUACCCACAGAAGAAGCCCCGGCCAACUACGUG
rnacentral:rRNA from 1 species